rnacentral:rRNA from 1 species
GAUGAACGCUGGCGGCGUGCCUAAUACAUGCAAGUCGAGCGAACAGACGAGGAGCUUGCUCCUCUGACGUUAGCGGCGGACGGGUGAGUAACACGUGGAUAACCUACCUAUAAGACUGGGAUAACUUCGGGAAACCGGAGCUAAUACCGGAUAAUAUAUUGAACCGCAUGGUUCAAUAGUGAAAGACGGUUUUGCUGUCACUUAUAGAUGGAUCCGCGCCGCAUUAGCUAGUUGGUAAGGUAACGGCUUACCAAGGCAACGAUGCGUAGCCGACCUGAGAGGGGGAUCGGCCACACUGGAACUGAGACACGUCCCAGACCCCUACGGUAGGCAGCAGUAGGGAAUCUUCCGCAAUGGGCGAGAGCCUGACAGAGCAACGCCGCGUGAGUGAUGAAGGUCUUCGGAUCGUAAAACUCUGUUAUUAGGGGAGAACAAAUGUGUAAGUAACUGUGCACGUCUUGACGGUACCUGAUCAGAAAGCCACGGCUAACUACGUG